rnacentral:lncRNA from 10 species
UUUAAAUGCACUGACAUUUUUAUUUCUUGCAACCCGAGUUAAAUUCACGUUUCAUUUCCUACAGAAUGCAAAAAAGACAUCCACAAGGCAACUCCACUUCUAAGUUACAAAUUACUAGAUGUUAGAAAACUUUCUCGAAGGACAGUGCACUAUUUUUUAUUUUUUGAGACAGAGUCUUGCUCUGUCGCCUUGGCUCACUGCAAGCUCCGCCUCCUGAGUUCACGCCAUUCUUCUGCCUCAGUCUCCCGAGUAGUUGGGACUACAGGCGCCCGCCACCAUGCCCGACUAAUUUUUUAUAUUUUUAGUAGAGACGGGGUUUCCUUUGCUUUGAGACACCACUGUUUAUAGGCUGCAGACUGUAAAGGGAAGUACU